UGUCUCCUCCACCCUCCUCCUUUGGUGUGGAUUUAGCGCGAUUCCAACGAAUCGCGCUUUUUUUU
rfam:Environmental sequence ctg3440, whole genome shotgun sequence.